UACGAAGGGUGCAAGCGUUACUCGGAAUUACUGGGCGUAAAGCGUGCGUAGGUGGUGAGUUAAGUCUGUCGUGAAAGCCACGGGCUCAACCUGGGAAUGGCGAUGGAUACUGGCUCGCUAGAGUGCGGUAGAGGAGAGUGGAAUUCCCGGUGUAGCAGUGAAAUGCGUAGAGAUCGGGAGGAACAUCAGUUGCGAAGGCGGCUCUCUGGACCAGCACUGACACUGAGGCACGAAAGCGUGGGGAGCAAACAGG
rnacentral:rRNA from 1 species